rnacentral:lncRNA from 1 species
AAAACUUGACAAAAGCUACUUCACAUGCCAGUACGCUCCACUUACAUUCAAGUCUAACAAACAAAUAAGGUUGCCCUCAUCUCUAUAAGGUGCAUAUGCGGGUGUGUUGCCUCGGUUGAAUUAUCCUUAGAAACUAAGAGUCCCAAAUAUCAAACAAUAAACUCUGUUAACAGGAAAUGCAGUCAGUAGUAAGUUCACUUAGUAUAUGGUUGUCGACCUAGAUUUUCCAAAAUGCUUUGAACCGAUGCAUUUCCCUUGCAAACUAUGCAGACAGAAGAUCAAAUUUGAAAAAUUAAAUAAUUGUUUUUCUGGAAAGGAGAGGUGCAACAAGAGAUCAGUUAAAUUGCAUAAUAAAGACCACCAUUUUGACAUAUCAUGUAAUUCCAUCCUAGACACAAAUCUCGCGACCAGUCUGUCAUGCAUUCCUAAAACAGUAUGCCUCUUCAGCGGUCACAGGUGCACGGCUGGGAACUUUCCCCGAGCGUUUUGUCUGCAAGAGAUGUUCAGAUUACUUCAUCUGUGAAUAGACGGCACACCCAGCUAGUAUUUAAGAACAAAACAAUAAAAUGCCGUUGAAUUCCCAUCAUGUAGAAUAAGGCACUGCCUCCAUGAAACCUGCAAUGACAAGAGCAUGUAAGUUUUCUCGGCGUGGUAUUUGUAAUCCACAUGCCCUAACUACCAAGUUCUCAACUAAGAAUAUAUAUAUAUAUAUAUAUAUAUAUAUAUAUAUAUAUAUAUAUAUAUNNNNNNNNNNAAAAAAAAACCAAAAAAAUCUACUGAAACCAUAUGCAUAGAUUAUAGUAGUUAUGGUAGCUCAUUUCAUGUCCAACAAAAAUUCAUAUGUGUUCUCUAAAAUAAAAACAUAGGUCUUAAAUAUAAACACAAAGAAAUAGUGUUUUCUUUAAAAGAAAAGGUGUAGAGAAUGAACUAUAUACACUGAAUAGUCAUUACAUGAAUCAGAAGUAGAAGCGGUACUUUAGGACAAAAAACAUAUAUUGUACAACUGGUUCUAUCUGUAUGUAACCAUGCGAAAUUAAGCUCAAUAUACCUCAUUUUCCGCUGAAGUCAAGAUCUAUUGCAGAUCAAUGCGAGCAGUUUCAAUGUCGAACCUUCCAUAUAGAAUGCAGGCCCUUGUCUAUACAAUUGCAGUCAGAGUUGAUUGCAAUAUUGACGCGUAUGUCAUGAGCAGCAAAAUCAUAUGCUCCUGGGUUCUAGCACUUGCCCAACUGAUAUAGUUCAAGCAGGAAAAAAAUAUUCAGUAAACCAAAAUGGAAACCUUUUAGAAAGUAGAGGGGCUCGGUGUUAAGCAAUGGUUUCAGGUAACUAUCGGGUUCAACCAGUACUAUGCUACCUUCUAAUAAACAUGGAAGAUGAUUAAGGUCUCAAUGAGAUAUAAUGAACUGUAGUGUGGUCAGCAGCAAGAGGAACAUUUAAACAUUCAAUGUGCCCAUUGCAAGUGCUCCAAUAAAUGCAAUAAGCAGAACUCAAAUAAAGCAACAUCUCUAGGACUGUAUUCUGGAAAAUAUAAAUAGAAGACCAGGUAAACUUUGCAACAGUCAAUAUACCUUUUAAGAAGAAUCAAUCGGCUAUCAUAAUAUUUUGACGGGCUACGACUAUCAUAUUCAGCAACCAAAAUGAUACAAUAUAUAUCAUAGGAAAAAAAAACUACUAAGUGCAGGUGGCAAGAAAAAGAGAGAUAUGAGUGGUCAAACUCUCCUAGAAGCAAAGAGAUCUUGACUUACAAACUCAAGGCACAUAGCAGCAUACCGAAAUUUCUAGCUAGUUGUACUUGCAGGUAGUGAAAAUUAAGCAGGCAAUGUUAGGAGACUCGAAAGAAGGCUUUGGCCAGCCUGUGAUCCGCACAUUAUAUGAUCAUGUGCAGGUUCGUAUUUUACUGUUUAAAUUCUUGAGUCUCUCCUCAUCUUGUUUUGAAAUAGCUCCAUGUUAAGACUUCUUCUAUCCAUAGUUUGGUAGUUGCUUGAGAAUAAUAGCUAGCAGAGAAACAGCUCGGGG